rnacentral:rRNA from 1 species
UACGUAGGGUGCAAGCGUUAAUCGGAAUUACUGGGCGUAAAGCGUGCGCAGGCGGUUUGGUAAGUCCGAUGUGAAAUCCCCGGGCUUAACCUGGGAAUUGCAUUUGUGACUGCCCGGCUAGAGUUUGGCAGAGGGGGGUAGAAUUCCACGUGUAGCAGUGAAAUGCGUAGAUAUGUGGAGGAAUACCGAUGGCGAAAGCAGCCCCCUGGGUCAAGACUGACGCUCAUGCACGAAAGCGUGGGGAGCAAACAGG